CAGUCGCCGCGGGAAUACGUAGGGUGCAAGCGUUAAUCGGAAUUACUGGGCGUAAAGCGUGCGCAGGCGGUUAUAUAAGACAGAUGUGAAAUCCCCGGGCUCAACCUGGGAACUGCAUUUGUGACUGUAUAGCUAGAGUACGGCAGAGGGGGAUGGAAUUCCGCGUGUAGCAGUGAAAUGCGUAGAUAUGCGGAGGAACACCGAUGGCGAAGGCAAUCCCCUGGGCCUGUACUGACGCUCAUGCACGAAAGCGUGGGGAGCAAACAGGAUUAGAUACCCCUGUAGUCCCUGUCUCUUAUAA
rnacentral:rRNA from 1 species